rnacentral:rRNA from 1 species
UACGUAGGUGGCAAGCGUUGUCCGGAUUUAUUGGGCGUAAAGCGAGCGCAGGCGGUUUCUUAAGUCUGAUGUGAAAGCCCCCGGCUCAACCGGGGAGGGUCAUUGGAAACUGGGAGACUUGAGUGCAGAAGAGGAGAGUGGAAUUCCAUGUGUAGCGGUGAAAUGCGUAGAUAUAUGGAGGAACACCAGUGGCGAAGGCGACUCUCUGGUCUGUAACUGACGCUGAGGAGCGAAAGCGUGGGGAGCGAACAGG